rnacentral:sRNA from 1 species
GCCAGUGCUACUCGAAGCUAAUGUUCAUCCCUUGGACAGGCUGAGUCCAGGCAGCUGCAGGCCUCUCUCAGAAACUUGAUUCUGAGAGUAAAGCCCCGUUUUCUAGCUCAGCAGACACUCAUGUUUAAGAAAAUGUCUCCCACUGGAGCUUUCCUGACUUGUGCCUCCCGGGGCCUUGUCUUUCCUUGGCUUUUCAUAUACCAGAGGCGCCUUUUCCUGUGGGGACUGCUCCCGGGUGGUCACAUCUCCUGUUCUCAAGAGGCACCUGCAGGUCUUCCUGGACUGCCGCUCAAGACCGCAGUGCAGAGUGAAGGUCAAGCUGUUGCAGCGCAGCAUUUCCUCCCUGCUGAGGUUUGCCGCCGGUGAAGAUGGGGUAAGUGCAGGGGGCCCAGCCCAGGGGGCCGCACACUCGGUAGCCUGCAUGAGCAACUCAUCCCCAGAGGAAGCCCCCACUCCCAAAUGUGUUCUAUUACAACCCAUCCCACUAGGAAGUGGUGUAGACACUCGAGAGUGAAAUGCAGAUAUGUCUGCCAUUCAGACUGAUAGGUUCCUUUCCUCUGUGGAAAUGAGGUUAUUUUAGAUCAUUGUUGAGGUAGAUGCAGGAAUCUGUCC